AGACUGAUAGUAGGAUUUUAGUC
rnacentral:snRNA from 1 species